rnacentral:rRNA from 1 species
AGUGAACGCUGGCGGUAGGCCUAACACACGCAAGUCGAACGGCAGCACAGUAAGAGCUUGCUCUUACGGGUGGCGAGUGGCGGACGGGUGAGGAAUACAUCGGAAUCUACUUUUUCGUGGGGGAUAACGUAGGGAAACUUACGCUAAUACCGCAUACGACCUACGGGUGAAAGCAGGGGAUCUUCGGACCUUGCGCGAUUGAAUGAGCCGAUGUCGGAUUAGCUAGUUGGCGGGGUAAAGGCCCACCAAGGCGACGAUCCGUAGCUGGUCUGAGAGGAUGAUCAGCCACACUGGAACUGAGACACGGUCCAGACUCCUACGGGAGGCAGCAGUGGGGAAUAUUGGACAAUGGGCGCAAGCCUGAUACAGCCAUACCGCGUGGGUGAAGAAGGCCUUCGGGUUGUAAAGCCCUUUUGUUGGGAAAGAAAAGCAGCAGGUUAAUACCCCGCUGUUCUGACGGUACCCAAAGAAUAAGCACCGGCUAACUUCGUG